GCUGGGCAUGGUGGUGUAUGCCAGUAAUCUCAGCAACUUGGGAGGCUGAGGCAAGAGGAUCGCAAAUUUGAGGCCAGCCUCAACAAGGCCGUAAGAAAUUUAGGGAGACCCUGUCUCAA
rnacentral:sRNA from 1 species